rnacentral:rRNA from 1 species
AAACUUUGCAAUGUGCGAAAGCACGACAAGGUUAAUCCGAGUGUUUCCUGCUAAAGGAAUCUUUUGUCAGUCGUAAAACCACUAAUGAAUAAGGGGUGGGCAAGUUCUGGUGUCAGCCGCCGCGGUAAAACCAGCACCUCAAGUGGUCAGGAUGAUUAUUGGGCCUAAAGCAUCCGUAGCUUGCUCUGUAAGUUUCCCGUUAAAUCCAUGUGCUCAACAUAUGGGCUGCCGGAAAUACUGCAGAGCUAGGGAGUGGGAGAGGUAGACGGUACUCGGUAGGAAGGGGUAAAAUCCUUUGAUCUAUUGAUGACCACCUGUGGCGAAGGCGGUCUACCAGAACACGUCCGACAGUGAGGGAUGAAAGCUGGGGGAGCAAACCGGAUUAGAUACCCGGGUAGUCCCAGCUGUAAACGAUGCAGACUCGGUGAUGCCCUGGCUUGUGGCCAGUGCAGUGCCGCAGGGAAGCCGUUAAGUUUGCCGCCUGGGAAGUACGUACGCAAGUAUGAAACUUAAAGGAAUUGGCGGGGGAGCAC